rnacentral:misc_RNA from 1 species
AAAGUCGUAACAAGGUUUCCGUAGGUGAACCUGCGGAAGGAUCAUUAACACUCGAUUCUUACCCAACACAACCGCGAACAUGUUUUUUCAACCUCAUACUUCAUAAUCGUCUUGAAUUGGCGAAGGGUGGAGGUGGUAUAGCCAAGGCUAUUUAUCACCUGGCCAGCUCUCGACUACUGAGCCGUACCCUAGCGGUGCGAGCUUGGAGAUUAUGUGGUACUGAGGCAUUUUCACCCUAAUCAUCCCCAUCCUUUUGAUGAUUAAGGUGGUUUCUUCAAUUAUUCACCCCAAUCAAUAAUUUGUACUAAUCAAGUGCAUAAUCCAUUGCUUCAUUGCAGUGGGUCAUGACACCUAGUUAUACGUAACUGAGAACAACUCUUAGCAAUGGAUAUCUAGGUUCCC